rnacentral:rRNA from 1 species
CUACGGGCUGCUGCAGCUAGGAAUUUUUUGCAAUGCACGAAAGUGUGACAAAGCGAGCCAGAGUGCUUUUCCGUAUUGGAAAAGCUUUUAUGAGAUGUAAAAAGUCUCAUGAAUAAGGACUGGGCAAGACUGGUGCCAGCCGCCGCGGUAAUACCAGCGGUCCAAGUCGCAGCCACUUUUAUUGGGUCUAAAACAUCCGUAGCUUGCUAUGCAAGUCCUUUGUGAAAUCUGGCAUCUUAAGUGUCGGGCAUGCAGAGGAUACUGUUUAGCUAGAGACCGGGAGACGUGAAGAGUACAGAUAGGGUAGCGGUCAAAUGCGUUGAUCCUUUCUGGACUAACAAUAGCGAAGGCACUUCACGAGAACGGAUCUGACAGUGAGGGAUGAAGGCUAGGGGCGCAAAACGGAUUAGAUACCCGAGUAGUC